GCAGUUGCUGCCCAUCAUGCCGAG
rnacentral:siRNA from 1 species